rnacentral:ncRNA from 1 species
AGAACUGGUAAUUCGAUGGGUGAAAUGAAGAAGUAACGCUCGGAAGCGCCCACCUUAAUCUCCGAUUGGCAGAGAAAUCUGUCAAAAGCUCGGUGAAGUCGGCAGAGAGUAGCCGUAUUGCAGAAAUGCAACGAAAGCGGUUCAGCGGUGAAUUGUGCUACCUAUAUGCCGGAGGUCUAUAAA